UACGGAGGGGGCAAGCGUUGUUCGGAAUUAUUGGGCGUAAAGGGCGCGUAGGCGGCCGGCCAAGUCGGGUGUGAAAUCCCUCGGCUCAACCGAGGAACUGCACUCGAUACUGGCUGGCUUGAGUCCGGGAGGGGAUGGUGGAAUUCCCAGUGUAGCGGUGAAAUGCGUAGAUAUUGGGAAGAACACCGGUGGCGAAGGCGACCAUCUGGACCGGAACUGACGCUGAGGCGCGAAAGCCAGGGGAGCGAACAGG
rnacentral:rRNA from 1 species